rnacentral:tRNA from 1 species
GGCGCGAUGUCAGAGCGGUUAUGUAGAGGACUGCAAAUCCUUGUAGGCGGGUUCGACUCCCGCUCGUGCCUCCA